GAGGGUAUAGCUCAGUGAUGGAGCACAUGCUUAGCAUGCAUGAGAUCCUGGGUUCCAUCCCCUGUACUUCCU
rnacentral:tRNA from 1 species